rnacentral:rRNA from 2 species
GGCGAAAAGAACCCCGGCGAGGGGAGUGAAAAAGAACCUGAAACCGUGUACGUACAAGCAGUGGGAGCACGCUUAGGCGUGUGACUGCGUACCUUUUGUAUAAUGGGUCAGCGACUUAUAUUCUGUAGCAAGGUUAACCGAAUAGGGGAGCCGAAGGGAAACCGAGUCUUAACUGGGCGUUAAGUUGCAGGGUAUAGACCCGAAACCCGGUGAUCUAGCCAUGGGCAGGUUGAAGGUUGGGUAACACUAACUGGAGGACCGAACCGACUAAUGUUGAAAAAUUAGCGGAUGACUUGUGGCUGGGGGUGAAAGGCCAAUCAAACCGGGAGAUAGCUGGUUCUCCCCGAAAGCUAUUUAGGUAGCGCCUCGUGAAUUCAUCUCCGGGGGUAGAGCACUGUUUCGGCAAGGGGGUCAUCCCGACUUACCAACCCGAUGCAAACUGCGAAUACCGGAGAAUGUUAUCACGGGAGACACACGGCGGGUGCUAACGUCCGUCGUGAAGAGGGAAACAACCCAGACCGCCAGCUAAGGUCCCAAAGUCAUGGUUAAGUGGGAAACGAUGUGGGAAGGCCCAGACAGCCAGGAUGUUGGCUUAGAAGCAGCCAUCAUUUAAAGAAAGCGUAAUAGCUCACUGGUCGAGUCGGCCUGCGCGGAAGAUGUAACGGGGCUAAACCAUGCACCGAAGCUGCGGCAGCGACGCUGAUGCGUUGUUGGGUAGGGGAGCGUUCUGUAAGCCUGUGAAGGUGUGCUGUGAGGUAUGCUGGAGGUAUCAGAAGUGCGAAUGCUGACAUAAGUAACGAUAAAGCGGGUGAAAAGCCCGCUCGCCGGAAGACCAAGGGUUCCUGUCCAACGUUAAUCGGGGCAGGGUGAGUCGACCCCUAAGGCGAGGCCGAAAGGCGUAGUCGAUGGGAAACAGGUUAAUAUUCCUGUACUUGGUGUUACUGCGAAGGGGGGACGGAGAAGGCUAUGUUGGCCGGGCGACGGUUGUCCCGGUUUAAGCGUGUAGGCUGGUUUUCCAGGCAAAUCCGGAAAACUAAGGCUGAGGCGUGAUGACGAGGCACUACGGUGCUGAAGCAACAAAUGCCCUGCUUCCAGGAAAAGCCUCUAAGCAUCAGGUAACAUCAAAUCGUACCCCAAACCGACACAGGUGGUCAGGUAGAGAAUACCAAGGCGCUUGAGAGAACUCGGGUGAAGGAACUAGGCAAAAUGGUGCCGUAACUUCGGGAGAAGGCACGCUGAUAUGUAGGUGAAGUCCCUCGCGGAUGGAGCUGAAAUCAGUCGAAGAUACCAGCUGGCUGCAACUGUUUAUUAAAAACACAGCACUGUGCAAACACGAAAGUGGACGUAUACGGUGUGACGCCUGCCCGGUGCCGGAAGGUUAAUUGAUGGGGUCAGCGCAAGCGAAGCUCUUGAUCGAAGCCCCGGUAAACGGCGGCCGUAACUAUAACGGUCCUAAGGUAGCGAAAUUCCUUGUCGGGUAAGUUCCGACCUGCACGAAUGGCGUAAUGAUGGCCAGGCUGUCUCCACCCGAGACUCAGUGAAAUUGAACUCGCUGUGAAGAUGCAGUGUACCCGCGGCAAGACGGAAAGACCCCGUGAACCUUUACUAUAGCUUGACACUGAACAUUGAGCCUUGAUGUGUAGGAUAGGUGGGAGGCUUUGAAGUGUGGACGCCAGUCUGCAUGGAGCCGACCUUGAAAUACCACCCUUUAAUGUUUGAUGUUCUAACGUUGACCCGUAAUCCGGGUUGCGGACAGUGUCUGGUGGGUAGUUUGACUGGGGCGGUCUCCUCCUAAAGAGUAACGGAGGAGCACGAAGGUUGGCUAAUCCUGGUCGGACAUCAGGAGGUUAGUGCAAUGGCAUAAGCCAGCUUGACUGCGAGCGUGACGGCGCGAGCAGGUGCGAAAGCAGGUCAUAGUGAUCCGGUGGUUCUGAAUGGAAGGGCCAUCGCUCAACGGAUAAAAGGUACUCCGGGGAUAACAGGCUGAUACCGCCCAAGAGUUCAUAUCGACGGCGGUGUUUGGCACCUCGAUGUCGGCUCAUCACAUCCUGGGGCUGAAGUAGGUCCCAAGGGUAUGGCUGUUCGCCAUUUAAAGUGGUACGCGAGCUGGGUUUAGAACGUCGUGAGACAGUUCGGUCCCUAUCUGCCGUGGGCGCUGGAGAACUGAGGGGGGCUGCUCCUAGUACGAGAGGACCGGAGUGGACGCAUCACUGGUGUUCGGGUUGUCAUGCCAAUGGCACUGCCCGGUAGCUAAAUGCGGAAGAGAUAAGUGCUGAAAGCAUCUAAGCACGAAACUUGCCCCGAGAUGAGUUCUCCCUGACUCCUUGAGAGUCCUGAAGGAACGUUGAAGACGACGACGUUGAUAGGCCGGGUGUGUAAGCGCAGCGAUGCGUUGAGCUAACCGGUACUAAUGAACCGUGAGGCUUAACCUUACAACGCCGAAGGUGUUU